rnacentral:rRNA from 1 species
GAUGAACGCUGGCGGCGUGCCUAAUACAUGCAAGUCGAGCGAACAGACGAGGAGCUUGCUCCUCUGACGUUAGCGGCGGACGGGUGAGUAACACGUGGAUAACCUACCUAUAAGACUGGGAUAACUUCGGGAAACCGGAGCUAAUACCGGAUAAUAUAUUGAACCGCAUGGUUCAAUAGUGAAAGACGGUUUUGCUGUCACUUAUAGAUGGAUCCGCGCCGCAUUAGCUAGUUGGUAAGGUAACGGCUUACCAAGGCAACGAUGCGUAGCCGACCUGAGAGGGUGAUCGGCCACACUGGAACUGAGACACGGUCCAGACUCCUACGGGAGGCAGCAGUAGGGAAUCUUCCGCAAUGGGCGAAAGCUUGACGGAGCAACGCCGCGUGAGUGAUGAAGGUCUUCGGAUCGUAACACUCUGUUAUUAGGGAAGAACAAAUGUGUAAGUAACUAUGCACGUCUUGACGGUACCUAAUCAGAAAGCCACGGCUAACUACGUG